CCUCCUCUUCUGUCAUACUCUUCGAGGCAAACAGUCCCUUUUUUUUUUUUUUUGACAAAAAAGUAAAUCAAAAUCCAUAGAUGCAAGCGGCAACACAACGCAACCUGCGGACUUCCUAGUGCCCGCCAAUAUUGGUGCCGCCCGCCUCUUCGGCUUGCUUCUGCGACCAAACACUUCUCUGAACUCUUUCUUCUCGAACAAUAGGCUCUUUCCCUCUAACCGGUCUAAACUUGGCUAGCGAAGUGAUUUCUUAGGCGCACAUAAAUAUAUGUUAGUUUCCGCUGCAUGUAUUGAUCGGAGGUGAUUGGAUUUUUUCGGUCGUACUUGUGUUCGGCUCUAGGGUUUGCUUUGCUGCUUUGAUUCGUUGCGUACAAUUCCUCACUCUCCUAAGGCGGAAGUAUGUAUAAUGCCAAAGGACCAAGGAGUGCUGCCUAUACAGAAAGCUGGGGAUGAACAGAUGGUGUGCAGAAUCUAGGAUAUACACACGGGGUACAUGAAAAAAUAUUAAAAGCUCAUUAGAACUGUUGUGAAGCACAAGAAAAAGGAGCAGAAGGCCAGUACAUGAAUCUUCCAUGAAAAGCUUUCCUAAAGAAUUGAAAGGAUUUCAUAUUGUUUUCCAUUUGUCUAAUCACGAAGUUUUUGUCCUUCAGUUUCAAGUUGCAUUGUGUAUAUAAUUAUGAGAUGCUUUUUCUAAAGGGGUUUGAGAUAGUUUCAUGAGCGUUAGCUUUUGUACUAAGAGCUUAGAUUUAUGCUUCAGAUAGAAAUUUUCUUUUUUCUCCAAUUCUUCAUUUAAUGCAAGGACAUGUAUGUAUUUUUCCCAAAAAGAGCCUUUUCCUUUUUCAAACUAAAGUUCCUAGUAACUCCUUCAAUCUCUCUCUCCCUCUCUUUCCCAAUUCUCUUUUUGUGGCGGUGUAUAUCUGUGAAGUAAUUUAGUUAGGUAACGAUGUUGGGCCUAUAAAAGAACUUUUCAUCCCUGUCUAUGCCACCUGUUUUUGUGAAGGGAUUAAUCUUCUAAAAUUUGAGCAUUUUCCCCAUAUUUUUGUUAUGUUUCCUGGGGAAGCCUGGGUUGCUCCUACAUCUCAUUUUAAAAUUCCAGUUAUAAGUUAUUUGGCUGUAUUUUUUGGGUCGAUCGUCAAGAAUUGUCUUUUAUGGUAGUUGUAUCUUUUUUAUUUUGCCACCUGGUCAACCAGCGUUUAUAUAGCAUCAUUAAAGGAAUAAUAUUAUAGUUGGUCUUCAUUGUUUUGACUUUUUAGCACUAUUUGCUGCCUAUAUAUUGCUGUGCCUCAAUGGUAUGAUGUUUGACAUGUAAGUUGUAACUUUGUUCUCAAUGUGGAUCCAUUAAAGUUCUUGCGCAGGCAAAUAAUAUUUUAAACCAACAGCCACUUGGUUCUUGGUGACAUUUGGGGAACCUUACUAAGAAAUCAGGACUUCAACAAACAUGUGAAGCAGUGAAUUUCACUGUCAGGUGGCUGCUGGCCAAUGCAUGCAAUGGGGCGGGUUAGGUUAGGUGGGAGCCUGGGGCAAGGUAAGAGUGGUUGGAAAAUGAAGACAGAAAUGAAAUGAAAAUAAUAGUGCAUCAUUCAGUCUGUCUUAGUUACAUAUUAAAUGUCACAUUUAUCCUUCAUGUGCAUUAAAUAAGCUGGUAUCUACAGAUCAAUUGGCAAAAAAGUUUUUAUUUACAUAUUCAUUUUGGAUAGGAUGCAAAGAUAAAAUUUAUUCGUUACGUAAAUGUAGUUGAUCUUUCAUAUUCAUGACUCAAUUAUUUAACUCUUCUGUUUCUUUUGUUGCUUCAGUAUAUUCUUCUUUUCUUCCUGGGAGCGGGUUCCUAUACGUUCCUGUCAUUACAGGUCUUAAGUUUUGUAUCAUAUUGCUGCUGUCUCACAUCCAAACUAUUGUCUCUCGGCAAUAAUGAUAUAGGAAAAUCAGGGUUAUUUACCUACUUAGGGAUUUGGGCUAAAAACCUAGACGCCACACAUAGUACACCUGGAGUUUUUACACAUUACAUGCAAGUUUUAAACUGUUUGGUUGCAUCACAUAAUUGAGUACUGAGAAAUUCUCAAAGUAUUUAUUGCAUAACUGAAUGAUAAUUUGAAGGAGAUUAUAAAGGUAUUUAUAAGAGUGUCAAAUAAGAAGCCUUUGACUGGCAUUAUUGAGCUCUAUCAUAACCGGGAAGCUUUUAUCUCUAGCAACUAGAAAAUAAUUGUUUGCUUGUCUUUUUUUAUUCUUUUGCUUUUCCUUGAGCUUUAAAUGGAGGAUGUCUCAUUCUCCUUUGUUGUAUUAUUAUUUUUGUCUUUCCGUCUUUAAUAAUAUUUCUUCUUUUAUAAGAAAAAAAGGGUUCCAAAUAAGACCUUCCCAAGUAGGAUUAGGCUAUGAAAUACUGAGACUCAUAAAAUUAGGAAUAAUACUGUUAAUAAGAUAGAAAAUAUCAAUGCUAAUAAGACUAGAGAGAAUACUAUGACUCAAAUAGGAAAACUAAAUAUUAAUACAAAUAAAAUCUUAAAGUUACUAAAACUAUAAUAACUGGGUCAUAAAUAGUAUAGAAAUUUUAUAUUUAAUAGGAUUAUAAUUUCUAAUCCAUUUAAGUAAUCUAUAGCUAAUCCAUUCUGUAUCUCGCUUGGAGAAAAAUUAAAUACGAGCUUUAAAGUGGUGAAUGGUGUAAAACAUUAAUCUUCAAUCUUCCCCAUGAGAAUUGAACAAACUGUGUGCUUUGCCAUUCUCUUCAGUGCCAACAUAAUAUAGAAACAUAAUACUAUGACUCAAAGAUGAAGUUGCCAUAUUGAUCAGUUUGUGCUUCAACUUCAUCUUUGAGUUGAAAAUCAAUGGACCCAUUUGUUGGCUUCACUUCCUUCUUGCAUUGGAUUUUCAUAGGAUUUUUACGAGGGAGUGAAAGGUCUUGAAUAAACUUGUAGUCUUUACUCUUAAGAAAAGAUGAUAGUUCUUCUCGUUCUUCAACUUCAAUAGUCUCUUUCUCUUUAUCUUUUUCAU